AUGGAAAGUCGGUGAAACCUUGGGAUCGGCCAGAUCCGAUUCGAGGUGUGACGGUUUCGUUCGAAAUUAGCUUGCAACGAAUCAGGCCUCUUUGCGGAUUUAAGGGGACCAUUAACGAUUCU